GAUGAACGCUGGCGGCGUGGCUAAGGCAUGCAAGUCGUAAGCUAAUAGCAAUAUUGGCUUGGCAAACGGGAGCGGAACACAUUGGUAAUCUGCCCCGAGGACGAGGAUAAUCCUGCGAAAGUGGGAAUAAUACUCGAUAGUAGUGAGGGGACAAAAGUCAUUCUCACUUAAAGCAGUAAUGCACCUCGGGAGGAACCUAUGUCCUAUCAGCUAGUUGGUGAGGUAAUGGCUCACCAAGGCUAUGACGGGUACCGGGUGUGAGAGCAUGACCCGGCUCACUGGGACUGAGACACUGCCCAGACUCCUACGGGAGGCAGCAGUAAGGAAUAUUGGACAAUGGCCGCAAGGCUGAUCCAGCCAUGCCGCGUGAAGGAUGAAGGUGCUAUGCAUUGUAAACUUCUUUUGUCCCGGAAUAAACCCCUGAUUUCUAUCGGGGCUGAAUGUACGGGAAGAAUAAGGGACGGCUAACUUCGUGCCAGC
rnacentral:rRNA from 1 species